UUGUAUUUUUUCUUUAGCUAUCACUCCGCAGAAAGACAGAACGAGCAAUUUGCUAUUACUCUGACCUGUAUAUCAGAGCACUGGUGUAUAAGGAAAUAGGUCAAGGCUACAUUAGGGAACAUGUUUGCAGGCAAUCGCAGGUUAAAUGAGCCUUAACAUAUUGCAUCUUCUCUACGCAUCUCAAAAGCCUCAGGGUCACCCAUAUUAGACACACAGGCAUUCAGAUUUCAACUUGCACUUGAAAAUGGUUGGCAAGUUCCUCUGACCUCUGGAAUGGCCAAAUAAUCACUGUACAUUUGCCAUGUUGGCAAAUGUUUUAACAAAAUCCAAGUUAGGAAAAAUUUUAAUGAAUCUUGAGACAAAUUUAAAAAUAACUUACUUUUAUUUCAUCUUCAUUUGUACUAGCUGCUUUGAUCAUGCAGGCAGAAAAGUGUGCUACCAGGUGUCAGAGGAAUGUCUCUCACCUGGUUUUGUUUGCUUCAAAAUGCAACUUUAUUGCAAUAUUCAACGAAAGUGGAUAUCCUGUCUGAUUCUGAAAAGGUAUUUAGAAGGGAUGCAUUCAAGAAUUUAGAUAAACAUAUACCGACCUCAACAGAAA